rnacentral:rRNA from 1 species
GUGGGGAAUAUUGGACAAUGGGCGCAAGCCUGAUCCAGCAACGCCGCGUGAAUGAUGAAGGCCUUCGGGUCGUAAAGUUCUUUUGGUAGGGAAGAAAAUGACGGUACCUACAGAAUAAGCUCCGGCUAACUUCGUGCCAGCAGCCGCGGUAAUACGAAGGGGGCUAGCGUUGUUCGGAAUUACUGGGCGUAAAGCGUGCGUAGGUUGUUAUUCAAGUUAGUGGUGAAAGCCCAGGGCUUAACUCUGGAACUGCCAUUAAAACUGAAUAGCUAGAGAGUGUUAGAGGUAAGUGGAAUUCCUAGUGUAGGAGUGAAAUCCGUAGAUAUUAGGAGGAACAUCAAUGGCGAAGGCAGCUUACUGGGUCACAUCUGACACUGAGGCACGAAAGCGUGGGUAGCAAACAGGAUUAGAAACCCUUGUAGUCC